UACGUAGGGUGCAAGCGUUAAUCGGAAUUACUGGGCGUAAAGCGUGCGCAGGCGGUUUUGUAAGUCUGACGUGAAAUCCCCGGGCUCAACCUGGGAAUUGCGUUGGAGACUGCAAGGCUAGAAUCUGGCAGAGGGGGGUAGAAUUCCACGUGUAGCAGUGAAAUGCGUAGAGAUGUGGAGGAACACCGUUGGCGAAGGCAGCCCCCUGGGUCAUGAUUGACGCUCAUGCACGAAAGCGUGGGGAGCAAACAGG
rnacentral:rRNA from 1 species